GACGAACGCUGGCGGCGUGCUUAACACAUGCAAGUCGAACGGACAGGCCCUGCUUUUGUGGGGUGCUCGAGUGGCGAACGGGUGAGUAAAACGUGAGUAUACUGCCCUUGACUUUGGGAUAACUUCAGGAAACUGGGGCUAAUACAGGAUAGGAGCUACUGCUGCAUGGUGGGGGAUGGAAAGUUUCGGCGGUUGGGGAUGGACUCGCGGCUUAUCAGCCUGUUGGUGGGGUAGUGGCUUACGAAGGCUUUGACGGCUAGCCGGCCUGAGAGGGUGACCGGCCACAUUGGGACUGAGAUACGGCCCAGACGCCUACGGGAGGCAGCAGUGGGGAAUAUUGCAGAAUGGGCGGAAGCCUGAUGCAGCAACGCCGCGUGCGGGAUGACGGCCUUCGGGUUGUAAACCGCUUUCGCCGGUGACGAAGCGGGAGUGACGGUAAUGGGUAAAGAAGCACCGGCUAACUACGUG
rnacentral:rRNA from 1 species